rnacentral:rRNA from 1 species
UACGUAGGGGGCAAGCGUUGUCCGGAUCUAUUGGGCGUAAAGAGCGUGUAGGCGGCCAGACAGGUCCGUUGUGAAAACUCGAGGCUCAACCUCGAGAUGUCGAUGGAAACCGUCUGGCUAGAGUCCGGAAGAGGAGUGUGGAAUUCCUGGUGUAGCGGUGAAAUGCGCAGAUAUCAGGAAGAACACCUAUGGCGAAGGCAGCACUCUGGGACGGUACUGACGCUGAGACGCGAAAGCGUGGGGAGCGAACAGG